AACCGCGCGCAGUUGUCAAAGAAACAACAUUCGAGUUGUUUACGUUCACUUGUUUUUGUGAGUUCGCGCCAGAAACUUGUGAUUGUUGUGUUUUGUUUUUGUCAUGGGGACCGAAGUGAUUUCAAAUCCUGGCUAUUCUGGCGGUCUAGAAGAAUUGUACACGGAUUUUGACGCCUGGAUAACUAAAAGGAGUUGGAAGUACAGACAAAGACCUAGCAGAAGCCCUCAAUGCUUUUCUUCAGAAAAACCACCGAGCGCAGCCACCAUAGACUUCCAAGAGUGUCUAGUCAAUGGGUUUGACAGAAGAGUCCUAAACACAUUCCCUAAAGACCUUAUAGGGUUAUUAAAUGUGUGUAGAAACGUAGAUUUGGUCCAUUUUGACUUGGCCAUGGUAAGACUGGUGAGAGAAAAUGGUAGAAGAAGGAUUUUGUUCGUGAAUAGAUCUAAGUUGUAAUAUGCCAUGAUAUUUAGACGUAAUUACUUAUAAUAUGGUAGGGUACAAUACCUACAAGGUGUACCCGGCGACAUCAUAAAGGUAGCGGGAAAGCGCUGGAUGCAGGCCCCAAUCGAUGUGGAAAUCAUUGGGCGAGGCCUAUGUUCAGCAGUGGACGUCCUGUGGCUAAAAUGAUGAUGAUGAUGUACUUAUUAAUAAGUAGAAACACUAAAUAAAAAUAGCGUGUAUUACGUAAUUUUUCCUGAAAAACAACGGAUUUUUUUCAAGAAAAAUAAUAUUUCUGUAUUGUUUUUGUUUGUACCAUUGUUCAUAUCUAGGUAUACUUUAUUAUUCAGUUGUGAUAUUGUAUAUUGUUAUUUUUCAAUUAUGUAAUAUAGGUAGGUACAUGUCAUACAACUUGUGUGCUACAAAGGAACGGAUAUAAAAUAUGAUAAUUUCUGUAUAAAUAAAUAAAUUAUCUACUAGAAGCGUUUGUACUAUGUACUGUGGUGGUGACUUUGUUAAAUUGCAAAUAGAUUUAUGUAAUUUGUAAGUAGUCAUAAUAAUAAGAUUUACAAAAAGUAAACUCAUUUUUUGUCAUUAA